UACGGAGGGAGCUAGCGUUGUUCGGAUUUACUGGGCGUAAAGCGCACGUAGGCGGCGCCGUAAGUCAGGGGUGAAAUCCCGGAGCUCAACUCCAGAACUGCCCUUGAAACUGCAGUGCUAGAAUUCUGGAGAGGCGAGUGGAAUUCCGAGUGUAGAGGUGAAAUUCGUAGAUAUUCGGAAGAACACCAGUGGCGAAGGCGGCUCACUGGCCCGAUACUGACGCUGAGGUGCGAAAGCGUGGGGAGCAAACAGG
rnacentral:rRNA from 1 species